rnacentral:rRNA from 1 species
AUUGAACGCUGGCGGCAUGCUUUACACAUGCAAGUCGAACGGUAACAGGGAAAAGCUUGCUUUUCUGCUGACGAGUGGCGAACGGGUGAGUAACACAUCGGAACGUGCCCUGUAGUGGGGGAUAACUACUCGAAAGAGUGGCUAAUACCGCAUACAACCUGAGGGUAAAAGUGGGGGACCGCAAGGCCUCACGCUAUAGGAGCGGCCGAUGGAAGAUUAGGUAGUUGGUAGGGUAAAGGCCUACCAAGCCGACGAUCUUUAGCGGGUCUGAGAGGACGAUCCGCCACACUGGGACUGAGACACGGCCCAGACUCCUACGGGAGGCAGCAGUGGGGAAUUUUGGACAAUGGGGGCAACCCUGAUCCAGCAAUGCCGCGUGAGUGAAGAAGGCCUCGGGUUGUAAGCCUUUCAGCCGGAAAGAAAUACGCGCAGGAUAAUAACUCUGCGUGGAUGACGGUACCGGAAGAAGAAGCACCGGCUAACUACGUGCCAGCAGCCGCGGUAA